rnacentral:rRNA from 1 species
AUACGGAGGAUCCGAGCGUUAUCCGGAUUUAUUGGGUUUAAAGGGUGCGUAGGUGGUUUGAUAAGUCAGCGGUGAAAGUUUGCAGCUUAACUGUAAAAAUGCCGUUGAAACUGUCGGACUUGAGUGUAAAUGAGGUAGGCGGAAUGCGUGGUGUAGCGGUGAAAUGCAUAGAUAUCACGCAGAACUCCGAUUGCGAAGGCAGCUUACUAAGCUACAACUGACACUGAAGCACGAAAGCGUGGGGAUCAAACAGGAUUAGAUACCCUGGUAGUCCACGCAGUAAACGAUGAUUACUAGCUGUUUGCGACACACAGUAAGCGGCACAGCGAAAGCGUUAAGUAAUCCACCUGGGGAGUACGCCGGCAACGGUGAAACUCAAAUGAAUUGACGGGG